rnacentral:rRNA from 1 species
AGUGAACGCUGGCGGUAGGCCUAACACAUGCAAGUCGAACGGCAGCACAGUAAGAGCUUGCUCUUACGGGUGGCGAGUGGCGGACGGGUGAGGAAUACAUCGGAAUCUACUUUUUCGUGGGGGAUAACGUAGGGAAACUUACGCUAAUACCGCAUACGACCUACGGGUGAAAGCAGGGGAUCUUCGGACCUUGCGCGAUUGAAUGAGCCGAUGUCGGAUUAGCUAGUUGGCGGGGUAAAGGCCCACCAAGGCGACGAUCCGUAGCUGGUCUGAGAGGAUGAUCAGCCACACUGGAACUGAGACACGGUCCAGACUCCUACGGGAGGCAGCAGUGGGGAAUAUUGGACAAUGGGCGCAAGCCUGAUCCAGCCAUACCGCGUGGGUGAAGAAGGCCUUCGGGUUGUAAAGCCCUUUUGUUGGGAAAGAAAAGCAGCAGGUUAAUACCCCGCUGUUCUGACGGUACCCAAAGAAUAAGCACCUGCUAGCUUCGUG